GUUGCCCUGAGACAAGGUGAAGGAUUUGAAAGGAGCCUCCACAUUCUCUUCUAAAUUCGCUCUUCUGUUGGUCUCUUGACGCUUCUGCAGUAUCUCCUCAAAAAACGAGUCCAGGGUGAACAGACGUUCCUCUUGGAAAAGAACUUAUUAGUUCGAUGAGAGGUGUUAUUGGCCACGGCAUCUCGGUCGAACAGUUUGGCAGCCAUACGGUUCUCUCCAGACGUCGUGUUGACGGCGACGCCUCCACACGUCCAGCGCCUGACAUGGCGGCUCUCAAGGGCUGCUCGGUGUGCAGUACAGACCUCCAUGGUGGGCGCGGAGGACACUGGAGUGAUCUGAUGACAGAUAUAGAUUUCAAAAUUAAAAACGUCACCCUAUUAUGGUGGGUUGAUAUGACAUCUUUAAAGAAAAGUUCAUUAUCGUAGGACUGAAUGCUAAAAAUUAGUUUUCUGUAUCUGUAGAAGGGAUGUUUCUGUCGCCCCAACUCAUCAGCACUAGGAUACUAACUAUCGCAAAUACGAAUUUAUCCGUGAAAAUUACCAGAAAUGAAUGUUUGCCUCCCUGAGUGUGGUCUAUUGUGGUGAAAUGCUCUACAAAAUUGUUGUACCAUGA